ACGCUGAUAAACUCGAUUAAUUUGAGUUGUCCUAACUUAGAAAAACUAAGUAAGCUGGAAGUUUUGCUUCUCUGGGCGGAAGGAUGAAAGAUGUGUUUUGAAAAUGCCACGUGACUACCGUCCUCCUCCCUCACGGAUCAGUCCGCAUGUUCACGGUGCCAGCAUUUGUUAUGGAAUAUAUUGAGCAAACCCGGAGAAGCGUCAGCUCAAGAGACUAUUGUUGUCAUUACUGUGGAUCUUUACUGACUUGGCUCGGACCAGCACUCCUGUUGUUGGACAGAAAGACAUCAACUCAGUGACUUGAGAUAUGACUGCACUAUGCUGUUGCUGUGACUCCAGUUAAUUCUACAAGACAUGCUGUGUAAGUAAACAAACAACAACAGUUUGGUCUGCAUUUCUUCAAA